UACAGGGUAGAACAGGGGUUAGUUCGCCAGCCUCAUGAGCUGGAGGUCGGAGGUUCAAAUCCUCCCCCUGUAA
rnacentral:tRNA from 1 species